CCCAACCUGACUGCUGUGUUCUGCCCUGAGUCUGCAGAGGCUGACCCUGGCCAGGAAAGUGGUUGGAAAAGCAUUUUUGCAGAGAGGCAGCCUGAAGGUGGUGGCUCUAUGUAAGUGUGCACCCUUGGUUGGAAAGGCUGAAGGUCAGGAAUGGUAUUAGGAGAAAGUUCCCCCUUUCUCCUUUGUCCCUCCUUCCUGCCCCUGGACACAGGCUUGAGGAUCUGCAUCUGGCUGGCUCACCCUUCCUGCACAACUUUUCUAUUCAAGUUUUUCAGGGCAGGGCUUUAAGAAACACUUCAGGUUAAUUAUAGCCAGGGGUCAUUUUCUAUACAAGCGGGACAAACUUGAUGUGACUACAGGGCUGUCUCCAGGGCUGAUUCAUUCGACCUAGAAAACUGCCCCUAGGGAAACAGCCUCAGAAUCUUGCCUGCAGCUCUGGAAGUGGUAAUGGGCCCACCUGUCUCCCUGCCCAUCAUCUCACAUCUGGGGGAAUGUCUUGGCUAGCAGCAUGGCCCUGAGUGAGGGGUUUAGGUAAACAAGGUGUGACUGGGAUUGGAAGAGUCACAAACCUGUUUGUUAGAGCAAUGCUGAAGAGUUUCAGGAAAAGAAUUUCAUCAAGGCUGGCACAUCUGUCCUCAGACACUUGAAGGAUUCCCUGGAGGAAGGAGGACUGAACUUGCCCUACAAGAUCCUGCGGGGCAAAGAACUGUAAGCAGAGACAAAAUGAAAGCCCUCUAGGCCCACAAUUGAUUCUAACGGCUGUGAGGGAAUGAGCUUCAACUACUGUUGAUGGGAGGGACUGUGUGCCAGGCACUGUGCUAGGGACUCUCAUGCAUGAUCUCAUUCAUCUUCUGCAUAACCCAAUGAGGUAUGAUCUACUAUCAAGUGUCUACAUUUGUAUUGGAUUGGUAUGUGUGCCCAACAAAGAAAGUGUCAUUUUUCCUUGGGAAUGAAAUCACAUCAUUUGUGAAGACUUAGUAGAGGCUAAAUGAGUACAAGCAGCAUUUACCUUAUUAAACAGAUAUUUUCAACAUUUAAAACAGUCUGACCAUCAAUGAUGAUGUUCAAAAACAUCUCAAGAUGUUUUAGAGCUAAAGCAAAUGAGAAAAUAUAGUAAAGGGCUGAUUCCUGUGGAUAUUCUGCAAAGGAAAGUAACAUGGUGGAGUGGAAGUGGGAUAAGGUUUGAAGCCAAAAGACCUGGUGGGCUUAAGGUCUCCAUUUAUUGGUUGUGUGACCUUGGAUAAGCCACUUCACCUCCUGGUGAGACUUGGGCAAAAUGGAGAUCAUAUUAAUCACCUCACAGUUUGUUACGCAUUGAGUAAAUGCACAUGUAAGCAUUAUUGACUGUAAAUGAUUAUGCAUAUUUUAAUUAUGGUAUAUCCAAGCCUGAUUUUUCAUCCAGUGCUUACAGUGCCCUGGGCAUAAUACUCAUUCAAUAAACAUUUGUUUGAUGAUAGAGUAAUAAAUGAAUAUGUGAUGCAGAAGUUUUAAAAAUAUUUUUGCUGCUGUCUGACUCAUUUAUAGACAUUUAUAAAAUUGAGGAUUUGUAAGUUGUCCCUGGACAAUCAGAUCUCUUGAUUCAAAGGUGAAAGAUAAUCAUUCAGGUUUUCAAGUUUUUCCUGAUAUGAGACAUUAACUGGCAGGGCUGAUUAUGAGAAAUUGUCAUUAUCCUGCUCAAAUAUAAGAUCAUAGAUUUGGGAAACCUUAGAAAUAAUUACCUUCUUUUCAAAUAUGAGGAAACUGAAGCCCAGAGGCUCUAAGAAAUCAGGGACUUUAUAUAAUUUUUUCAUUUCUCUAGCUCUAGGGUAAUUGUAGAUAGAUAUACAACAAGUAUGUUUUUAAAAGUAUAUUUUUCAAGAAUUAUGCUAAGCACUGGGGAAAUAAACAUUAACAAGACAAAACCCUCCCCUUUGAGGAACUGAUAAUCUAGACAGACAUGAAAACCAGGAAGUGUGCUAUCAGUUAUAUUAAUGUUGUACAGAGUUCUAGUGGCAAGAGGGAACUGCCAAGGGAAAUCUGAGAGGAGGUGUUUACCCUGCGUAAACACCUUGCUGUUUAGCUUGGCAUCCCUAGAAGCAGACCCUGAGGACAGUGGGAAAAUGGAUUAUUAAGGAAGUGCUCCUGAGAGAAACCAGAAAGGGGGUGUAGGGAGCAAGGGAGGAUAAGGAGAAGACUCCAGUAAGGAUGAGAUUACUCAAGUCCCAUGGAAGACAGGUUAGCCUGAUCCUGCAGGGGAGCCCUGGAGGACUUAACAUCUCUGGAAAGCCAGAAAUCAGAGAUACAGAGAAGUAUUGAAAUGCUGAAAUGCUAUGAAUUUACUAUAAGAGAACAUUCUUCACUGAAGAGAUCUCUAGCUGCCAAAACACCCUUUCAUGCGUGAAAUACCGGGGCAAAGAGGAAGGAAAAGAGAAGAGUAUGACUCUAGGAACCAUGUUGCAGAAAUGCCAAAGGGUGGGACAAACAAAUAUAUUUAUAACAUAAAUGAGAACCAAGAAGACAAACAAACCAAAUCUCUGGGGAACAGAAGCCACUCUACAAAGUCUUCACAACGGAGCUAAUAUUUGAUUUGCAUUUUGGAGGAGAAAUAGAAAUUUGCUCAAUGGACUGAAGUGUGGGCAGGAGAAAAAGGGAAUCCUUGGCAGAAACACCGUAACAUGGAAUGGUGAAAAACAAAACAAAAUACAAUGAGAUUAAGGAACUGCAGAAAUACUUCUAAACCUGGAACAUAGGGUAUAAAAAAGGAAGACUCAAGAUAUGGUUCCAAGUUCCUUAGACCGUGGCUAUAUCAUGAAGAGCCUUAGAUGGCAAAGUAAAAAGUUUGAAUUUUGUAUUUUAUGAUCCUUAAAGUGCCUAGGAAAAUAUUAACACAUAUGAGCUAUCCAUAUAAUCGUUCUUGAACUGAAAUUACAAGUAUAUAGAGUAUGUGUCAGGAGGCUCUGAACUGGUGCCUGUAACUUUAUGAUGAGCUUACUGUUUUAGCUGCUGGAACAUUUUAGCACCUUUCUUGACCUAUUAUUACAUAAGUUUUUGUUGCCUUUCAACUUUUCGGAGAACAAUUCUGCCAUUUCUUUUUGAGUUUGAGCAUUUUCCUACCUGCACAAAGGGAAGAUGAGGUAUGGGCUGUAAUGACUUUGGAAGAUCCAAAUAGCUAUCAUCUUGGCUGGAGAGAGGGUGACUUCCAAGCAAGGGCCUGUGCUCUGGCCUCACUCUCUGCGGCUCUGCAACAUGAGCCUCAGCAUCCCCUGUGCUACUCACUAGAAAGUGGACCUGACAGCUUUGGCAGGUAGAGCCUUGGGCUACAAAACCCUUCAGGCUGAGGUUGAAAAUAAGGGCUCCCUGUUCCAGGGGUUAUUGCUUGUUGCCCCCUGGGAAGUGGUGACUCACAUAAUCUGCAUCUCUGUUUUCAAUACACACCACAGAAAACUUCUUUCCUUUCUUCACCUUGAGUUGGUCAUCAGCAUGAAAAUCAGACAGAUCUUUCUAAUGUGUGUUCCUUAUAACAUCAGUUCCAAGGGAUGUUAAUCCAAUCAAGUUCCUGCAGUCAAAUAGGGCAGGACCAAGUUUAGACUUCUCAGACUCCUUAACAUUAUAAGAUACUUUCUAAAUCUCCAAGAAGAAUGGUGUUUUAAAAAUUGCUUUGAUUACAGAAGACUUUUCUUCCUGAGUCAAAAUUGAGAGUACUGAGUGUUCCAUGCAACACGUUUGGAACUUGAUGCUCAGUGCUCUUAUAGGCAUAGAGUAACAUGCAUAUUACAGUAUAUAAAUAAGUACUUAUUUACUUAGGAUGCAUGAGAAUAAACUAUUGCACAGAUAUGCAUUUUCUGGAUAACUGAACACAAACUCUGUUGAAUACUAGACUGUGCAUUAGUGUUACAUAUGUGGUGGGAUAACAUUUUGAUAACAUUUGAAAUAACUCCUUUUUUGAUUUUUUGUGCAUCCAUUUUUCCUUUCCCAAAGUUUUUUCUUCCCUGCAUUUCUCUUUCUUCCUUUCCCCAUUCCAAGCAGGGUCAGCCUUCUUUGGUUCAUUGUCUCAGAGUAAGAAGGUGUCAGGGUGGAAGGCCGAAGUAGCCUAUACGUCUGUCUGGCUUUUGUAUUCCUCAAACCGAGGCCUUUAGAACAACACAGAGAACUCACAGAGUAGGCAAACGAAAGAGGAUUUGGGGAUACAGAGCCAUGAAAAAAGAAGGGUAAUCCCCCAGAUUACAAAUAGUGGCACUGUUGGGCAGAGAGAGGAGAUAGGAGGGAGUGAAGAGGAGGUAGGGAGCGAAAGCAGGGGAGCCGAGGACAGAGGUAGAGGACGAGGACAAAAAGACAUCAUGAGGCUGGAAAGGAAACAGGCAUUGAGUGUGCACCCAGCCUGACUGUAAAGAAAGAUCUUUACCCUCUAAGACCAGGUCAGAGCAGCAGCGAGCCACAGCUGGUGUUGGGGAGCUGGCCAGCCACAGAGAGCUCACUACUAACCUGGGUGUGCACAUGGCCCAGGACCUGGUGACCUGCUCUCCACUUACCCCAAUGUUUUGACAUUAUUGACCCUUUCUUGGAAUCUCUGAUGGAACCUUAGAAUGGGUGGGAGGAUACUAUAAAAGCUUGAGAUUUGAAUUCCUAAUCAACUCGAUGAGAUAGGAGCCCCCAAUAGAAAUGAUUGGGAAUGAAAGAAAGUUAAAUUUCUUGAAAAUCUUGCUUUUAUAAAGCAUCAUGCAAUCUUUUCCAUGGUUGGGGCUGUCUCGCAGCCAGGUGCUGAGGGUCUGUUGAGGAGUGAGCACCUUUGCAGCCGUGCCAAUGUUGCAGGCCCCGGUGAUUUUGCAGUUUUUAUGUCUGCUUUUUAUGUAGCUUUCCUGUCGUAAGCCCGAAUUUCAUUUCUUGAUAAUUAUCAUAGGUAUACAUAGGUCUAAUUCUCUCCCUUUCCUCUCCAAAUUUGCUCCUUUCAUUGUGCUUUGGCCAGGAAACCAGAUAACAAAGCUUCUGAGAAUGAUGUAUAAAGGGAGAGGAAAUCAGUUCUGAGGGCUGGCUCAUUUUUCUCAUCUACAAAAUGACGGAGCUGUAAUAGAUCAUCACCAAGGUCCAGUCCAGCUUGCAC
rnacentral:lncRNA from 10 species